rnacentral:rRNA from 1 species
CGUACACUCCUGCGGGAGGCAGCAGUGGGGAAUAUUGCACAAUGGGCGCAAGCCUGAUGCAGCCAUGCCGCGUGUAUGAAGAAGGCCUUCGGGUUGUAAAGUACUUUCAGCGGGGAGGAAGGCGAUAAGGUUAAUAACCUUGUUGAUUGACGUUACCCGCAGAAGAAGCACCGGCUAACUCCGUGCCAGCAGCCGCGGUAAUACGGAGGGUGCAAGCGUUAAUCGGAAUUACUGGGCGUAAAGCGCACGCAGGCGGUCUGUCAAGUCGGAUGUGAAAUCCCCGGGCUCAACCUGGGAACUGCAUUCGAAACUGGCAGGCUAGAGUCUUGUAGAGGGGGGUAGAAUUCCAGGUGUAGCGGUGAAAUGCGUAGAGAUCUGGAGGAAUACCGGUGGCGAAGGCGGCCCCCUGGACAAAGACUGACGCUCAGGUGCGAAAGCGUGGGGAGCAAACAGGAUUAGAAACCCUUGUAGUCCCAUG